GCGAAAGUUCCCUUUCGGGGGGCGAAGUAGAGUGGCGCACGGGUGAGUAACACGUAGGUAAUCUACCUUUGGAUUGGGAAUAACAACCGGAAACGGUUGCUAAUACCGAAUAAUGCAGCGGCACCUAAUGGUGACAGUUGUUAAAGCGGGGGAUCGCAAGACCUCGCGUCUAAAGAGGAGCCUGCGGCGGAUUAGCUAGUUGGUAAGGUAAUGGCUUACCAAGGCGAUGAUCCGUAGCCGGCCUGAGAGGGCGGUCGGCCACACUGACACUGACAUACGGGUCAGACUCCUACGGGAGGCAGCAGUCGGGAAUUUUGGGCAAUGGGCGAAAGCCUGACCCAGCAACGCCGCGUGAAGGAUGAAAUCCCUCGGGAUGUAAACUUCGCAAGAACGGGAAGAAUAAGUGAGGGUUAAUAUCCCUUACGAUGACGGUACUGUUUGUAAGCUCCGGCUAACUCCGUGCCAGCAGCCGCGGUAAUACGGGGGGAGCAAGCGUUGUUCGGAUUUACUGGGCGUAAAGGGCGCGUAGGCGGCCACUGCAAGUCAGUUGUGAAAUCUCCGGGCUUAACCCGGAAAGGUCAACUGAUACUGCAGGGCUAGAGUGCAGAAGGGGCAACUGGAAUUCUCGGUGUAGCGGUGAAAUGCGUAGAUAUCGAGAGGAACACUGCGGCGAAAGCGGGUUGCUGGGCUGACACUGACGCUGAGGCGCGAAAGCCAGGGGAGCGAACGGGAUUAGAUACCCCGGUAGUCCUGGCCUU
rnacentral:rRNA from 1 species